GACUUUUGGGAUAGCAUUGGAAAUGUAAUUGAGGAAAAUACGUAAUUAAAAAAAAAAGAAAAAAAAGAUAACAGGGUUCUUUGUUGCUAUAUCACAUUGAAUUCUCUUUAAAUAUGGCAGUGACAAUUAAAAAAGGAAAAAGUCUAUUCAAAUAAUCAAGAAUAAAGUAAGACUUCUUGAAACAUUCUAGUUAAGAAAACCAAAUAGAAUUUUUUAAAAAAAUGACAGUAUACUUUCCAUUUAUCUGUCACACAGACUUUAAUUACUAACUUGUGGCCAUUUGUGCAUGAAUGACCAUGCUUGGCUUUGCUUUGUACUUUUAAAGGAUGGUUUUCUUGACUUUGAAAUUGAAAGAUACUGUGGAAAACUAUAAGUUGUGAUGUAUUAUGAGCUUAUAUUGCUUGAUAAUUUCAGAUGCAGAUGAAUUAGCACCAUAGUUUAAUAAUGAGGUCUUGGUUUGAACUUUUAGCUUCUGAAAAGGAGAUUGGAAUUUUGUUUCUUUGAGAAUUACUCUGUAGUACCUACUCAGUGCUUUCUUUGACUUCUUUCUGAUACCUUUUCUUGUUGCCUACUCUCCGGCCCCACUGGGCCAUGUUCCCCCUCUAGUACUAGCAUCAGUGGGUCACAACACUAUGUCCUAGGAGGGUCCCACUGGCUCUGUCCCACAUUCCUGUAACCAAACAGAUCUGUCAUCCUUGCAGUUUGAUAACACAAUACCCAGUAACCCGGUAAAAACAAGACUCAAUGCUUAUAGUUAACCAAUCAGAUUUAUAUAUAAAAAAUGCCAAUAUAAUAAUUUUAGAACCAAUUGAUAAUCAUAAAAGCUGCUCACCUAGGUUAGACAAAUUAUCCCAAUAUUCUAACCUUUAUGAUAUCAUAACAACCUGUGGCUGGCUAUAGCCACUCUGAUUCACAUCUACCAUCUUCCUUUCUCCUCCCUACCCAGAGAUGCUCCCUGUCUCUGCAACUCUUAGCGCUGCCUCCCUUUUCCCUGUCCAUUCACAGGCCUCCAACUGCCCUAAUGUAAUUGGCAAGGGAAAUCUUGUGACGUAUCACCCUUUCUGUUUAAUCAAAUCAAAUCAAAUCAAAUCAAAACAAACACCAACUCUUGUACUCCCUACUCUGGAGUCAGCCAGCAUAUCCUUAAGCCAGUAAUCAGAGAUUUUUCAGUUUAUUCCAGGUCUGUUUUAGUGGCCGUUUUCACCAGGGUCUGGGUUAGUUUGGCAGUACUGUAUGGCACUCUACAACGGAUAAAUGAGACUAGACUCUUUAGAGGUAAGAAAAGGCGUAGGAAAAAUCUUGCUGAUACAGCACUAUUGUUCACUAGCUUCUAGGUGACUGAAUUACCAGUUUGAAAGUUGUUUCCAAAUAAUACAAAAUUCUGUACUUAUUUGUUCUAACCAUGUGCUUUAGAACACCUAUUAUUUAUAAACAUAGGCUAACGUUUAUGCUUAUAGACAUAAUAUUUACCCUAUGACUGAUUGGUUGUGUAUCUCUUACUAAAAGUUUCUAUUUCAUUCUUUGGAUAUUUACUAGAGAUCAUAUAAUCUCUUAGGAAGUUUUAUUUUAUCUUCAAGGUAGAAGUAACUUCAUAGAGAUUAGAAGCUCUUCUCAUAACUAGUUAUUAUAGCUGGUGCAUAUCAGAUGUUAUAAAUAUUGAUGCUGCUGUCAUUAUUAAUUUCAUUGUCUCACCCCCUCUACGCUUCUUAUGUGAAUAUUUUCGUACCAAAAUCUUAAAAGUUGUUGCACUUAACUUUUACGUAAUUUAUAAAGUGAGAAAAAUAUGUCCAUGCAAGGAUGUAGUAACAAUGUCAAGUCCACGCACUGUUACUGAUACUUAAUAGAAUUCCACUUACUUAAAGAGUUUUGAAGCGUUUUACAGGUUUUGAAGAGCAUAUGUCCACCCAGGUAGAACAUAUUCUAAGCUUCAAAAUAAAGUUUGUAGCACUUACUGUGCUUGAAAUCUUACAAAAUAGAUUAUUUGAAGGCUGUGGAAUUAAAUUACUUAGCAUAGCAGUAAAUAUUUUAUGUUAAGCAGACUUAUAGUUAAGUAAAUAUGCCAAAGAAGAAUUUUUAAAUGAAAUAACAUGUUUCUAAAUAAUUCCAAAAUAAGAGGAGAAAAUACUGAGUUUAUAAAUAAAUGAAAAGAGAACAUAUUAAAGUAUAAGGAAUAUAGCUAAAGUACUAGAGGGACAUUUGUAUCUUGGAUGCUAAUUUGAGAAAACAAGUGUUAAGGAGCUGGAGAGGCAGCACACUCAGUAGGUAAGCGUGCGUCCUGCUCUUCCAGAGGGCUAGCACCUCACAAUUGCUUACCUGUAACUCCAGCUCCAGGGGCUCUAGCUUUCUCCUCUGGCCUCUGUGUGCACUUUCCCUCAUGCAGUACACACACACACACACACACACACACACACACACACACACACAAAUAAAAAUAAAUCUUUUUUU
rnacentral:lncRNA from 1 species